UUGUAAAGCAUAAGAUCUUUAGGACGACAUUACUUGUGCACAGGACAAUUCUUUUCCGACUGGACUUUGGGAUCCUGCCUGUGAAGAUCCCAAACAGAAGCAUGACGAAACUGCCCGGGUUUGAUAUCCUGCCACAGAGUGACACAGCUUUCUCUGCAGUUAUCCAGGGACCAUAUGGCUCUUAGCAAAGAGCAUAGCCUGCUACCCGUACCCCCUGCACCCCCUUGGGACACUUCCUUGUGCUCUUUCCGGAUCCACAAAAUGGCAGGCGAACCCCAUUAUGAUUCCCUCCAGAACUGUGUCACUAUUUUAACAAGCUGCGUUGUUCUGGAGCACUUCGUGACCGAGGCGGCUGAGCCCCACGAAAGGUGAGCGAUGAGCGAAAGCUUGGGUGGGCCGCUGGGAAAACCACAUGGUGCCGGCCUUCUGUUGGUUCUCCAUCUGCACUGGGAAGCACUGAGCUUCUAGAUUUAGCUCUUGCGACUUUUGCAAUGGCAACCUGUGACGUCAUAUUUUCGACUCCUUUGAUUGGUUGAUCGGAGCUGCUCAUUAAAACGAUGAUUCAUAAUUACAGUUUUUACAGGUCGGCCAAUAUUGUGACUGGGCCACUUGUAAAAGGAUUUCUUUGCCGCUCCCGAAGCAACGACAGCGAGCUUGGCUCUGGCUUCCCAGCACAACGAACGAAAGAGAAUGGAUGUCGUCUAUAAA